AUACAUGCAAGUCGAGCGGACAGAAGGGAGCUUGCUCCCGGAUGUUAGCGGCGGACGGGUGAGUAACACGUGGGUAACCUGCCUGUAAGACUGGGAUAACUCCGGGAAACCGGAGCUAAUACCGGAUAGUUCCUUGAACCGCAUGGUUCAAGGAUGAAAGACGGUUUCGGCUGUCACUUACAGAUGGACCCGCGGCGCAUUAGCUAGUUGGUGAGGUAACGGCUCACCAAGGCGACGAUGCGUAGCCGACCUGAGAGGGUGAUCGGCCACACUGGGACUGAGACACGGCCCAGACUCCUACGGGAGGCAGCAGUAGGGAAUCUUCCGCAAUGGACGAAAGUCUGACGGAGCAACGCCGCGUGAGUGAUGAAGGUUUUCGGAUCGUAAAGCUCUGUUGUUAGGGAAGAACAAGUGCAAGAGUAACUGCUUGCACCUUGACGGUACCUAACCAGAAAGCCACGGCUAACUACGUGCCAGCAGCCGCGGUAAUACGUAGGUGGCAAGCGUUGUCCGGAAUUAUUGGGCGUAAAGGGCUCGCAGGCGGUUUCUUAAGUCUGAUGUGAAAGCCCCCGGCUCAACCGGGGAGGGUCAUUGGAAACUGGGAAACUUGAGUGCAGAAGAGGAGAGUGGAAUUCCACGUGUAGCGGUGAAAUGCGUAGAGAUGUGGAGGAACACCAGUGGCGAAGGCGACUCUCUGGUCUGUAACUGACGCUGAGGAGCGAAAGCGUGGGGAGCGAACAGGAUUAGAUACCCUGGUAGUCCACGCCGUAAACGAUGAGUGCUAAGUGUUAGGGGGUUUCCG
rnacentral:rRNA from 2 species